rnacentral:rRNA from 1 species
AACGCGAAGAACCUUACCUAUCCUUGACAUCCUCGGAACCUGGCAGAAACGCUGGGGUGCCUUCGGGAACCGAGAGACAGGUGCUGCAUGGCUGUCGUCAGCUCGUGUCGUGAGAUGUUGGGUUAAGUCCCGUAACGAGCGCAACCCUUAUCCUUAGUUGCCAACAGGUAAAGCUGGGAACUCUAGGGAGACUGCCGGUGACAAGCCGGAGGAAGGUAGGGACGACGUCAAGUCCUCAUGGCCCUUACGGAUAGGGCUACACGCGUGUUACAAUGGACGGUACAAAGGGCAGCGAAACUGCAAAGUGGAGCGAAUCCUAUCAAAGCCGUUCGUAGUCCGGAUUGGAGUCUGCAACUCGACUCCAUGAAGUUGGAAUCGCUAGUAAUCGUGGAUCAGAACGCCACGGUGAAUACGUUCCCGGGCCUUGUACACACCGCUACAGU